GGAAGGAUCAUUAACAAAAACUUGAACUUAAUAACUUAGCGAAGCUUAGUGUAGGUGUAACAGCUUGCACUACUUUAAACUUAUAUUGGCAACAAUAUAACUAAGUGUGAAGGUUGAUAAAAACUAAAUUUUCAACGAUGGAUGUCUUGGCUCCCAUAACGAUGAAGAACGCAGCGAAAAUGCGAUAUGCAAUGUGAAUUGCAGAACUACGAAUCAUUUGAUCUUUGAACGCAAAUGGCGCUGGUAUCAUGCCAGUAUACUUGUUUCAGUGUGCCUAACCAAAUAACAAACAAGAUGUAAGAGAGAUCUCUCUUAUCAAAUAGAUGCUCCAAGUAGCAGUCACAUUCAUAUGUGAGCUAUUCUGGCAGUCUAAUUGUCUUAUUUGCACCUGAAAUCAAGUAAGAUCACCCGCUGGACUUAAGCAUAUUACUAAGCGGAGGAGAAGAAAUUAACUAAGAUUGCCUUAGUAAGGGCGACUGAACCGGCAAAAGCUCGAAAUUAAAAUCGGAAAAUCAAUGAUUUUUCGAAUUGUAAUCAGGGUUGCCAAAAUACGGGAGGUCACUCAAGAGUCUCGAAAGGCUCGCCAAAGAGGGUGAAAGCCCCGUGAAGUGGUCUCUCGAACGCGGUAACUUGAACAAGAGUCGUGUUGCUUGGAACUGCAGCACUAAGAGGGAGAUAUGAUUCUUCCAAAGCUAAAUAUGGAUGGGAGACCGAUAGCGAACAAGUACUGUGAAGGAAAGAUGAAAAGGACUUUGAAAAGAGAGUGAAAAGAUCUGAAAUCGUUGAGAAGGAAGCGGUUAUAACUGAUCGAGGUUAUGAUGGCGCAACGCGGCCAAAAGUCGUGGAGCGUCUACCAAAGACCCUGGACAAAAUGAAUCUAGUCAUGCCAAAAAAGGCGCAAGCCGUGUACGGGAUGGCUAGAUUAAGGGGCUAAGGCGAUUUUGUCUAAAAGGUUUUAACCGACCCGUCUUGAAACACGGACCAAGGAGUCUAACACAUAUGCGAGUGUGCGAGUGUAGAAACUCAUACGCGUAAUGAAAGUAAAAGGUGCGCAGCGCAAGCAGCAGCAUCGACCGACCUAGUAAGAAAGGUUUGAGUAUGAGCAUAUUUGUUAGGACCCGAAAGAUGGUGAACUAUGCCUGAGUAGGGUGAAGUCAGGGGAAACCCUGAUGGAGGCUCGUAGCGGUACUAACGUGCAAAUUGUUCGUCAAACUUGGGUAUAGGGGCGAAAGACUAAUCGAACCAUCUAGUAGCUGGUUCCCUC
rnacentral:misc_RNA from 1 species